AAAGUCCGUAACAAGGUUUCCGUAGGUGAACCUGCGGAAGGAUCAUUACCGAGUGAGGGCCCUCUGGGUCCAACCUCCCACCCGUGUUUAUCGUACCUUGUUGCUUCGGCGGGCCCGCCUCACGGCCGCCGGGGGGCAUCCGCCCCCGGGCCCGCGCCCGCCGAAGACACCAAUGAACUCUUGUCUGAAGAUUGCAGUCUGAGCAGAUUAGCUAAAUCAGUUAAAACUUUCAACAACGGAUCUCUUGGUUCCGGCAUCGAUGAAGAACGCAGCGAAAUGCGAUAAGUAAUGUGAAUUGCAGAAUUCAGUGAAUCAUCGAGUCUUUGAACGCACAUUGCGCCCCCUGGUAUUCCGGGGGGCAUGCCUGUCCGAGCGUCAUUGCUGCCCUCAAGCACGGCUUGUGUGUUGGGCUUCGCCCCCCGGCUCCCGGGGGGCGGGCCCGAAAGGCAGCGGCGGCACCGCGUCCGGUCCUCGAGCGUAUGGGGCUUUGUCACCCGCUCUGUAGGCCCGGCCGGCGCCCGCCGGCGACCCCAAAUCAAUCUAUCCAGGUUGACCUCGGAUCAGGUAGGGAUACCCGCUGAACUUAAGCAUAUCAAUAA
rnacentral:rRNA from 1 species